UUAAACAUGCAUGCGUAUUCUUUCUGCUAUUGUCUGUUUUAUUAUUAGUAAACAGUUUUGUUUUAAAUUGUUAAAACAUCUUUAUCCUUUUUCAGAUUAUAUUUUUGUUAAAGAUUUUUAUUAUCUACAUGUCAUGUCUGUGUUUAUUUCAAGUGCAAACAGUAGAACUGUCACAAAUUAAUAUAUUUAUGACUUUGCACCUGCACUUAAUUUAGACAUUUUUAAGCAUUUAAGGUCAAAAUCAGAGUGUAACUUUUACUUUUCAUACUAAAUGAAAUAUUCAGUUUUCACUUGUUAACCUGACCGAUACAGCAACCAUCACACCAAACAUUCCAAAACCUGUUUCUGUCUAAUGAAACAAUCAAUGAAUUUGGGCAACCAGUAUCUGAUUGAAUACUAUAGCUACAAGUGUGUCACAGCUUUGUUCUGAUUGGUUGUUUCUGUUUAUGUGUUUUGUACGCUGUGUGUUUUGUCAUUGGUUUGUUUUGACAGGUGGCCAUGCACGUACCAGUCAUUGUCUUAAGCCCAGGAUACACUGCAAGAUUUUUGCUCUCCUAUAAUAUCAUUACCUUAUCACACUGUGCGACAUGGAUCAUUUAAACUUGGGUACGACAAGCAUGUAGACUGUAUAAUGAUGACACCUAUUGACUCAUAGGUUGUGAUGACUGUGACUCCAGUUAAGUGCAAUGUCACCAGCAUGUGCUAGUGUUAAACAAAUACUGGUAAGCUGGUCGACAUAGGACCACCGAAGAGCCACGAUCACAGAAAUUGCCACAAAUGUUUCACGAUGGUAAUCUUUCGUUUGGGACCGCCAAAAAUCAUGCAGUGUAUCCCAGGCUAUAUCCUCCCCUCCGUCUAGUCAUCAUCUCAUUAAUUAUGAGAUGCGCUGUCAGUGCUUUUUCUUUCUGACUCUUCUCUGUUCUCUCCAGAUUGUGCCCUGAUGCCAUCUGCCCCGUUCUCCCAGCCUCAUCUUCCCUCUCUAUGCCUAGCUUCACAUCGGUUGGCUCUUCUUUGGCUCUCUUCAUCCCGUCUGCCUGCCUCGCUGCUCUCCCUGAUAACAUUUCCUGACUGAUGCCUUGCACUCUGACUCUUUCUGCAAGGUGCCAUUCUCCGAAGUGACUCAAUUUAGUGCCACCCUGCUGCUUGGCAUUGCACUUCUGAGGUCAUCACCAUCUUUCUUCAGCCAACCAAAAUGAUUCUCACCAACCACCCCAGCUCUGCUAAGCUUGAUG